AGGGGAUCUUCCGCAAUGGACGAAAGUCUGACGGAGCAACGCCGCGUGAGUGAAGAAGGCCUUCGGGUCGUAAAACUCUGUUGCCGGGGAAGAACAAGUGCCGUUCGAACAGGGCGGCGCCUUGACGGUACCCGGCCAGAAAGCCACGGCUAACUACGUGCCAGCAGCCGCGGUAAUACGUAGGUGGCAAGCGUUGUCCGGAAUUAUUGGGCGUAAAGCGCGCGCAGGCGGUUUCUUAAGUCUGAUGUGAAAUCUUGCGGCUCAACCGCAAGCGGUCAUUGGAAACUGGGAGGCUUGAGUGCAGAAGAGGAGAGUGGAAUUCCACGUGUAGCGGUGAAAUGCGUAGGGAUGUGGAGGAACACCAGUGGCGAAGGCGACUCUCUGGGCUGUAACUGACGCUGAGGCGCGAAAGCGUGGGGAGCAAAC
rnacentral:rRNA from 1 species